CAUUAAUUAGGCAAACCUUAAAAGAGGAGGAUGGUGGAUACAUGUGUCAGAAUGUAUUUGGUGUAUAAAUAUUUGUGCCAUUGGUCCGGAAGAUGGUUAGCACUUGGAAUCACAUUGUAGGGGUUUUCUUUUGUGAGCUUCCCCGUACAGUCAGUGUCAGAUGUUGGUAGCUCAUCUGUCAGAGAGAAGGUGAAAACAAAACCCGCGAUUCUUGCUUUUAUACCUGCCAAAUACUUUGGUUGUCACACACCUGGUUUUAGCUUUAAUUCAGUUCGGUUGGCGAGUCAGAUCUGUGAGGCUGAAGCCAGUGCUCUUGCAAUAAGCCAUAUAAACCUUUUCUGCCAACUUAUUCUCCCCAAGAGGGCCACUUAAAGGAGGGUGAAGACAUGCUAAGGUAAGAUUUUAUUGUUGUGGCUCAAUUUGCUAAAAGCUUUCGUAGUAAUGCAAAUGUGUUCUUACUGUGCAGACCUGGAUGUUUGCUAAAAUUGGUGUUAUUAAUAUUUGCCUUUGGGAAGUCCCUCAGGUCAAGUUGAUCAUAUUGAGCCACUUCGCUCUAACUUUUACCUCUCCAUAGUCAUUUGUCCUCUAGAAACUAAAAUACACCUAAGAUAGGAGAGUCUCAGCCACCAGGCCUUCUUCGGUGGAGUUUCUCAGCCAGCUCUGAGUGGGAGACCACUUUGAAGUUACUCUUCGAGUAGCAGACCCUCGAUUCCCUUCUUGCACACAUUCUUUUGUGCUGCCAUCUAAUCAUUAUUAUAUGUUCAAAAAUGCAAAUUUAUUUUAUUAUGAGACAAGUCAGCACCUCGGAG
rnacentral:lncRNA from 1 species